rnacentral:tRNA from 1 species
GGGGGAUUAGCUCAGCUGGGAGAGCGCUACAAUGGCAUUGUAGAGGUCACCGGUUCGAUCCCGGUAUCCUCCA